rnacentral:rRNA from 1 species
UACAGAGGGGGCAAGCGUUGCUCGGAAUCACUGGGCGUAAAGGGCGCGUAGGCGGGAUGGCAAGUCGGUCGUGAAAUCCUUCGGCUCAACCGAAGAACGUCGGCCGAUACUGCCGUUCUUGAGGGAUGCAGAGGAGAUUGGAAUUCCCGGUGUAGCGGUGAAAUGUGUAGAGAUCGGGAGGAACACCGGUGGCGAAGGCGGGUCGCUGGCCUGUAACUGACGCUGAGGCGCGAAAGCGUGGGGAGCAAACAGG